rnacentral:rRNA from 1 species
UACAUGGGGUGCAAACGUUGCUCGGAAUUAUUGGGCGUAAAGCGCACGUAGGCGGUUCGUUAAGUCGGAUGUGAAAGCCCUCGGCUCAACUGAGGAAGUGCACCCGAAACUGGCGAGCUUGAGUACGAAAGAGGAUCGCGGAAUUUCCGGUGUAGCGGUGAAAUGCGUAGAUAUCGGGAAGGAACACCAGUGGCGAAAGGCGGGCUCC